ensembl:lncRNA
GAAUGGCCCCAAACCAUGGGAAUGAUCCCAAACCCCAAUGGAAUGAGAGUGACCCCAAAUCCCAGGAAUGACCCCAAAACCUGGAAAUGGCCCCAAAUCCCAGGAAUGACCCCAAAUCCCAGAAAUGGCCCCAAAUCCCGGGAAUGACUCCAAACCAUGGGAAUGAUCCCAAACCCCAAUGGAAUGAGAGGGACCCCAAAUCCCAGGAAUGACCCCAAAUCCCCCAAAUAACCCCAAAACCAAGGAGCAUCCCCAAAUCCCGGGAAUGACCCCAAAUCCCAGGAAUUACCCCAAAACUAAGGAAUGGCCCCAAAACCAAGGAAUGACUCCAAAUCCCAGGAAUGACUCCAAAACCCAGGAAUUACCCCAAAACCUGGAAAUGGCCCCAAAACCAAGGAAUGACCCCAAAUCCCAGAAUGGCCCCAAAUCCCGGGAUCGGGGCUGAUCCAAACCCCCAAAUCCUUCGGGAAGGACCCCAAACCUUGGGAUUGGAGCCCGGGAAUGUGGCAAAACCCCAGAAAUCCCAAAAAACCCCCGAAAUCCCCCCAAAAAAAGCCCAGAAAUCCCAAAAAAUUCCCAAAAUCCCCAAAAUCCGCUCAUGUUCUUGAGGAAGUGCUGGGCCACAAAAUCCCAAACAAGAGCCCCAAAAUCCCAAAAAAAGAGCCCUGAAAUCCCAAAAAAAUCCCCGAAAUCCCCAAAAAAAGAGCCCCAAAUCCCAAAAAUUUCCCAAAAUCCCAAAAAAUUCCCGAAAUCCCAAAAUUUCGCUCACAUUCUUGAAGAAGUGCCGGGCCACGAUGUCGGGGUUGAGCUCCCAGCUCUGGUUGUUCCUCAUCCCCACCUGGAGGCGGCAGCGCCGCAGGAAUUCCAGAGUCUGGAAAAUCGGGAAUGGGAACCGGGAUCGGGGAAUUCCCAAAGUUUUGGGGUUUUUGGGAUCGGGAAAUUCCCGGGGUUUUGGGGUUUUUGGGAUCGGGAAAUUCCCGGAGUUUUGGGGAAAAUUCCCGGAGUUUUGGGGUUUUUGGGAUCGGGGCAAUUCCCGAGGUUUUGGGAUUGGGGAAAUUCCCAAAGUUUUGGGGUUUUUGGGGUUUUUGGGAUUUGGGAAAUUCCCGCAGUUUUGGGGUUUUUGGGGUUUUUGGGAUCGGGGCAAUUCCCGGAGUUUUGGGGUUUUUGGGAUCGGGGAAAUUCCCAAAGUUUUGGGGUUUUUGGGAUCAGGAAAUUCCCGGGGUUUUGGGAUUUGGGAAAUUCCCAGAGUUUUGGGGUUUUUGGGAUUGGGGAGAUUCCCGGGGUUUUGGGGUUUUUGGGAUCCGGGCAAUUCCCGGAGUUUUGGGGUUUUGGGAUUGGGGAAUUCCCAGAGUUUUGGGGUUUUUGGGAUCGGGGCAAUUCCCAGAGUUUUGGGGUUUUUGGGAUCGGGGCAAUUCCUGGAGUUUUGGGGUUUUUGGGAUUUGGGAAAUUCCCAGAGUUUUGGGGUUUUUGGGACUGGGAAAUUCCCGCAGUUUUGGGGUUUUUGGGAUUUGGGAAAUUCCCGGAGUUUUGGAGUUUUUGGGAUCGGGGAAAUUCCCAAAGUUUUGGGGUUUUUGGGAUCAGGAAAUUCCCGGAGUUUUGGGGUUUUGGGGUUUUUGGGAUCGGGGCCAUUCCCGCAGUUUUGGGGUUUUUGGGAUUGGGGAAUUCCCAGAAUUUUGGGGUUUUUGGGAUUGGGGCAAUUCCCGGAGUUUUGGGGGUUUUGGGAUCGGGGAAAUUCCCAAAGUUUUGGGGUUUUUGGGUUUUUGGGAUUUGGGAAAUUCCCGCAGUUUUGGGGUUUUUGGGAUCGAGGCAAUUCCCGGAGUUUUGGGGUUUUGGGGUUUCUGGGAUCCGGGGAAAUUCCCGGAGUUUUGGGGUUUUGGGAUCAGGGAAAUUCUCGGAGUUUUGGGGUUUUUGGGAUCAGGGAAAUUCUCGGAGUUUUGGGGUUUUUGGGAUUGGGGAAAUUCCCGGGGUUUUGGGAUUUGGGAAAUUCCCAGAGUUUUGGGGUUUUUGGGAUUGGGGAGAUUCCCGGAGUUUUGGGGUUUUUGGGAUCGGGGCAAUUCCCGGAGUUUUUGGGGUUUUGGGAUCGGGGAAAUUCUCGGGGUUUGGGGUUUUUGGGAUUGGGGAAAUUCCCGGAGUUUUGGGAUCGGGAAAUUCCCGGAGUUUUGGGAUCGGGAAAUUCCUGGAGUUUUGGGGUUUUUGGGUU